AAAAUGAAAACAAAAUAGAGAAAAUGAAUUGCCUUGGAAAAACGCGCGUCCAAAUCCAAUCUAGAGCGAGCAAAAGCUUCUGUUACUGGUUUAACAGAUAUUAGAUCUCUCUUCUUCAAAUAUUUUUAUAUCUUAAACUUGCUGUAAAUGCUGUCUUCUGUUUGAUCCCCUCCUCUCAGAUCUCAGGGUUUGGAUAUUGAGAGGGGAAUAAUGUUGACGAAGUUUGAGACGAAGAGUAAUAGAGUAAAAGGACUGAGUUUCCACUGUAAAAGACCAUGGAUCCUUGCUAGUCUCCAUAGUGGUGUGAUCCAGCUAUGGGACUAUCGAAUGGGAACACUUAUUGAUAGGUUUGAUGAACACGAUGGCCCUGUUCGCGGUGUCAAUUUUCAUAAUUCUCAGCCUCUUUUUGUCUCUGGAGGUGAUGAUUACAAGAUUAAGGUUUGGAAUUACAAGAUGCAUAGGUGUCUGUUUACACUUCUUGGACAUCUUGAUUACAUCCGUACUGUGCAGUUUCAUCACGAGUACCCUUGGAUUGUGAGCGCUAGUGAUGAUCAGACAAUACGUAUUUGGAACUGGCAGUCUCGUACUUGCAUUUCUGUGUUGACAGGCCACAAUCAUUAUGUCAUGUGUGCCUCAUUCCAUCCAAAAGAAGACCUUGUUGUUUCUGCCUCUCUGGAUCAGACAGUUCGUGUUUGGGAUAUUGGUGCCCUGAGAAAGAAAACAGUGUCCCCUGCUGAUGACAUUCUGCGGUUGAGUCAGAUGAAUACAGAUAUUUUUGGUGGAGUUGAUGCUGUUGUUAAGUAUGUCUUGGAAGGCCAUGACCGAGGAGUCAAUUGGGCGUCAUUCCACCCCACUCUUCCCUUGAUUGUCUCAGGAGCAGAUGAUCGUCAAGUGAAAUUGUGGCGCAUGAAUGACACAAAGGCUUGGGAAGUGGAUGCAUUGAGAGGACAUAUGAAUAAUGUGUCAUGUGUGAUGUUCCACGCCAAACAGGAUAUCAUUGUUUCAAAUUCAGAGGAUAAAAGCAUUCGUGUCUGGGAUGUAACUAAACGAAUGGGAAUUCAGAAUUUCCGUCGAGAGCAUGAUCGGUUCUGGAUCCUUGCAUCUCACCCUGAGAUGAAUCUCCUAGCCGCAGGUCAUGAUAGUGGCAUGAUUGUCUUUAAGUUAGAGAGAGAAAGGCCAGCCUUUGCAGUCAGUGGUGAUUAUUUGUUCUAUGUCAAAGAACGCUUUUUGCGGUUUUUUCAGUUUUCAACUCAAAGAGAUACUCAAGUAAUUCCCAUCCGGCGACCUGGUACCACCAGCCUGAAUCAAAGUCCAAGGACACUUUCUUAUAGUCCUACUGAGAAUGCUGUUCUUAUUUGCUCUGAUGUGGAAGGUGGAACUUACGAGUUGUAUGUCAUACCCCAAGACAACACUGGUAGGGGUGACACUGUGCCGGAGGCAAAGGGUGGUGCUGGGGGAUCAGCUGUCUUUGUGGCUCGGAAUAGAUUUGCUGUGCUUGAAAAGAGUAGCAACCAAGUCUUGGUCAAAAACCUGAAGAAUGAGGUUGUUAAAAAGAGCGGCCUCCCUGUUGCUGCAGAUGCAAUAUUCUAUGCUGGGACUGGUAACUUGCUUUGCAGGGCAGAGGAUAGAGUAGUCAUAUUUGACCUCCAGCAAAGGAUUGUUCUUGGGGAUCUUCAAACACCAUUGAUCAAGUAUGUUGUUUGGUCUAAUGACAUGGAAACUGUUGCCUUGCUCAGCAAACAUGCCAUCAUCAUUGCUAGCAAGAAGCUUGUUCAUCAGUGCACUCUCCAUGAGACAAUCCGUGUAAAGAGUGGAGCCUGGGAUGAUAAUGGUGUUUUCAUCUAUACAACUUUAAAUCACAUUAAAUACUGCCUUCCUAGUGGGGAUAGCGGCACGAUUAGAACUCUUGAUGUCCCGAUUUACAUUACUAAGAUUGCUAAAAAUACCAUAUUUUACUUGGAUCGAGAUGGGAAGAGCAAACAUAUUGACAUUGAUGCGACAGAAUACAUGUUUAAACUUUGUCUUUUGAGGAAGAAGUAUGACCAUGUUAUGAGUAUGAUUAGGAACUCUCAGCUUUGCGGGCAGGCAAUGAUUGCUUAUUUGCAACAGAAGGGUUUUCCUGAAGUUGCUCUGCAUUUUGUGAAGGAUGAGAGAAGUAGAUUUAAUUUGGCUCUAGAGAGUGGAAAUAUUCAGAUUGCUGUUGCUUCGGCAAAGGAAAUUGACGAGAAAGAUCACUGGUAUAGAUUGGGAGUGGAAGCACUUCGGCAAGGUAAUGCGGGUAUUGUUGAAUAUGCCUACCAGAGGACCAAGAAUUUCGAGAGGUUAUCUUUCCUUUAUCUCAUAACUGGGAAUCUGGAAAAGCUUUCCAAAAUGCUGAAAAUUGCUGAGGUUAAAAAUGAUGUCAUGGGUCAGUUUCAUAAUGCCCUGUAUUUGGGUGAAAUUCAAGAACGUGUCAAGAUUUUAGAGAAUGCUGGUCAUCUGCCACUUGCAUAUACAACUGCUAAAGUCCACGGGCUAGAGGAUAUAGCUGAACGUCUAGCUGCUGAGUUAGGAGAUGAUGUUCCAUCAUUGCCAGAGGGUAAAGUGCCCUCCCUUCUGAUGCCUCCUGCUCCCAUUUUGUGUGGCAGUGAUUGGCCGCUUCUAAGAGUCUUGCUAGGCAUAUUUCAAGGUGGACUGGAGGAUAUCGGUAGAGGUGGUGUUGAUGAAGAUGAAGAGACUCCUGAAGGUGAUUGGGGAGGGGAUCUGGAUACGGAGGAUAUAGAUGGCUUACAAAAUGGGUAUGUUUCAGCAAUAUUGGAGGAUGAGGAAGUGGCUGACGAAAAUGGAGAGGUAGGAUGGGACCUUGAAGACUUGGAGCUUCCCCCUGAGGCAGACACACCAAGGGCUUCUACAAGUGCUCGAUCUUCUGUUUUUGUGGCUCCAACUCUUGGUGUGCCUGUAAGUCAGAUUUUGAUCCAGAGAUCAUCACUUGCUGCUGAACAUGCUGCAGCUGGCAAUUUUGAUACUGCUAUGCGAUUGCUCAACAGGCAACUUGGGAUCCGAAACUUUAGUCCAUUGAGAUCUAUGUUUCUUGACCUUCAUACAGGUAGCCAGACCUAUUUACGUGCAUUGUCAUCGACUCCUGUGAUAUCUCUGGCUGUUGAACGAGGGUGGAAUGAAUCUGCUAGCCCAAAUGUAGGGGGCCCUCCAGCACUGGUGUUCAAUUUCUCUCAAUUGGAAGAGAAGCUCAAGGCUGGCUACAAAGCCACAACAGCUGGGAAAUUCACAGAGGCACUUCGACAAUUUCUCAGCAUUCUUCAAACAAUUCCAUUUAUUGUGGUUGACUCAAGGAGGGAGGUUGAUGAAGUCAAAGAGUUGAUUAUUAUAGUCAAAGAAUAUGUUCUGGGUUUGCAGAUGGAGCUCAAAAGGAGGGAAAUGAAAGAUAAUCCAAUACGCCAACAGGAGCUAGCUGCCUAUUUUACUCACUGCAACCUUCAAAUACCUCAUUUGAGGCUUGCUCUUCUAAAUGCGAUGACCGUUUGUUUCAAGGCAAAGAACCUUGCUACUGCAGCUACCUUUGCUAGGCGGCUACUGGAGACGAACCCCACAAGUGAGCAUCAGGCAAAGCCGGCCAGGCAAGUGUUGCAGGCUGCAGAAAGGAAUAUGACAGAUGCCUCUGAGCUAAAUUACGAUUUUAGAAACCCAUUUGUUACAUGUGGUGCAACAUAUGUUCCAAUUUACAGAGGACAAAAAGAUGUCUCUUGCCCAUAUUGUAGUUCACGAUUUGUGCCAAGCCAGGAAGGGCAGUUAUGUUCUGUUUGUGAUCUUGCUGUUGUUGGGGCAGAUGCUUCAGGGUUACUCUGUUCUCCUACCCAGAUACGAUAAUCAAGAUGCUGAACUAAGAGGUUUUUACAGUAACUUUGCAGCUCAGCUUAUUGACAGCAGAUCCUGGUUAUAUUCUAUCUGCAGGGAAUAAGGCUUGGGAAUCCAGUGGAAUGGACAAUUCAGUCACUCUAAGCUUUGAGCUUAAUAAAACAGGUAUCUCCUCUAUUUGCUGAAUCAAUCUCCAAGGAGUUGGUUGUCUGGUUCGAACCUGGCAGUGCAAGGACUACGGUUCUUCACAAACUGUGCUGCCUCCCUAAGGGCAAGGGACUCCGCUCCCAUCCCAAAUUUAGAGUUGCAUGACUUUGCUGUUGAUAUCUGCAAAUAAAAUCACUACAUGCUUGUUUGAGGCAUCAAGGCAGGGAGGGAGAAGGAGGUAUCUGCAUUUAGUUUUAACAUCAUUCUCAUUCUGAGGCUGCCAUCUAUUUAUAACUUGUUCGUUUCUAAAUUUCCUUCCUGUAUCUAGCACUAUCUCUUCACCAAAACGGAUUAUGGAGGCUCCCCUCACUGGCUAUAUAAUUGAAUUAAGCCUCCAUUGAAAGCUGGGCACUCCUUGACUUUUCAUUUAGAACUUGUUCUGUGCAGAUGAGAAACAUGAUUCUGAAUUGGACAUUGUCAAGAAAAGAAAAUGCUUGCCAGCAACAGCAUCUGUGUUUGUUGGAUUAUACAAUAGAUGAGCAAAAGGAUCACUGGUCCUUGGUCAAUGAGCGGAAAUCUCUACCACUUUGGACGACCCUCAUCACAGCUGAAGGGUACUAUUAUAUCAUAAAUUCAGGUUUUGUAUUUAAGACCUUUGAUAUUGUUUAGAACUUUUAUCUGAGCCUUAAUUAUGUUGCAUUGAA